rnacentral:rRNA from 1 species
UACGUAGGGUGCAAGCGUUAAUCGGAAUUACUGGGCGUAAAGCGUGCGUAGGUGGUUUGUUAAGUCUGAUGUGAAAGCCCUGGGCUCAACCUGGGAAUUGCAUUGGAUACUGGCAGGCUAGAGUGCGGUAGAGGAUGGCGGAAUUCCCGGUGUAGCAGUGAAAUGCGUAGAUAUCAGGAGGAACACCUGUGGUGUAGACAGCUUACUGGACCAUUUCUGACGCUGAGACACGAAAGCGUGGGUAGCAAACAGG